rnacentral:misc_RNA from 1 species
AAGUCGUAACAAGGUAACCGUAGGUGAACCUGCGGUUGGAUCAUUAACAAUUAUUAUUGAGCUCUUCCCCCUUUCACCGGGGGCGGUAGGUUCUCUAACACUUGUGUGCACUGUUUAUUGUCUCUCGGCGUUUUUUGAGGGGUUGGGGUAUCGGAGUUUUUUGCUCUGGUGCGGCUUUCACGGCCUUUGACCUACCUCCCUUGGGCGCCAAUUUUAAACUUGAUUUUAUAUAUACUAUAAGCCUUUAAUUUUAAAUUUAUAAUUUGAAAACAACUUUUAACAACGGAUCUCUAGGCUCUCA